GUCAGGAUGGCCGAGUGGUCUAAGGCGCCAGACUCAAGAUUUCUGGUCUCCCCCUGGAGGCGUGGGUUCGAAUCCCACUCCUGACA
rnacentral:tRNA from 1 species